AGUUAAGCACAGGGACACAUAUGAAGUCUCAGAGCCGGGUGUUGGUUCCGGUAGCGAUCGAGGGAAGUUAGUACCGAAGUCCGGGAUGGAAGAUGGCGAGAAAAGCUGUGUGUAUUUCUGCGGUGCCCGUACCGCAAACCGACACAGGUAGGUAGGAAGAAGAUUCUAAGGCCAACGGGAGAAGGGUUGUUAAGGAACUCGGCAAAUUGACCCCGUAACUUCGGGAGAAGGGGUGCUCCAGAGAUGGAGCCGCAGAGAAUCGGCCCAAGCAACUGUUUACCAAAAACACAGGUUUGUGCUAAAUCGAAAGAUGACGUAUACGAGCUGACGCCUGCCCGGUGCUGGAAGGUUAAGAGGAGAUGUGCAAGCAUUGAAUCGAAGCCCCAGUGAACGGCGGCCGUAACUAUAACGGUCCUAAGGUAGCGAAAUUCCUUGUCAGGUAAGUUCUGACCCGCAUGAAAGGCGUAAUGAUUUGGGCACUGUCUCAACAGCCCGCCCGGCGAAAUUGUAGUACCGGUGAAGAUGCCGGUUACCCGCGACAAGACGGAAAGACCCCAUGGAGCUUUACUGUAGCCUAAUAUUGGGUUUCGAUGUUGCAUGCACAGGAUAGAUGGGACACUGGGAAACAAGUGCUUUGGCAUUUGUGGAGUGGCCGUUGGGAUACCAUCCUUGCGAUAUUGGAAUUCUAACCUGCGCCUUUGAAUCAAGGCGGGGGACAUUGUUAGGUGGGCAGUUUGACUGGGGCGGUCGCCUCCUAAAGAGUAACGGAGGCGUUCAAAGGUUCGCUCAGCUUGAACGGAAAUCAAGCAAAAGAGUGCAAACGCAGAAGCGAGCCUAACUGCGAGACUGACGGGUCGAGCAGUAACGAAAGUUGGAGUUAGUGAUCCGGUGGUAUGUGAGUGGAAAUGCCAUCGCUCAACGGAUAAAAGUUACCCUGGGGAUAACAGGCUGAUCUCCCCCAAGAGUCCACAUCGACGGGGAGGUUUGGCACCUCGAUGUCGGCUCAUCGCAUCCUGGGGCUGAAGUAGGUCCCAAGGGUUGGGCUGUUCGCCCAUUAAAGCGGUACGCGAGCUGGGUUCAGAACGUCGUGAGACAGUUCGGUCCCUAUCUGUCGUGGGCGCAGGAUAUUUGAUGGGAGCUGUUCCUAGUACGAGAGGACCGGAGCGGACGUACCUCUGGCGCACCAGUUGUUCUGCCAAGGGCAUAGCUGGGCAACUAUGUACGGAUCGGAUAAACGCUGAAAGCAUCUAAGCGUGAAGCCGACCCAAAGAUAAGAUAUCCCAUUGUUUCAAACAAGUAAGACCCCUUGAAGACUACAAGGUUGAUAGGCACGAUGUGUAAGUGGAGUGAUCCAUUCAGCAAGCGUGUACUAAUAGGUCGAGGGCUUGACCA
rnacentral:rRNA from 1 species